rnacentral:rRNA from 1 species
AUUGAACGCUGGCGGCAGGCCUAACACAUGCAAGUCGAGCGGAUGAAGGGAGCUUGCUCCUGGAUUCAGCGGCGGACGGGUGAGUAAUGCCUAGGAAUCUGCCUGGUAGUGGGGGAUAACGUCCGGAAACGGGCGCUAAUACCGCAUACGUCCUGAGGGAGAAAGUGGGGGAUCUUCGGACCUCACGCUAUCUGAUGAGCCUAGGUCGGAUUAGCUAGUUGGUGGGGUAAAGGCCUACCAAGGCGACGAUCCGUAACUGGUCUGAGAGGAUGAUCAGCCACACUGGAACUGAGACACGGUCCAGACUCCUACGGGAGGCAGCAGUGGGGAAUAUUGGACAAUGGGCGAAAGCCUGAUCCAGCCAUGCCGCGUGUGUGAAGAAGGUCUUCGGAUUGUAAAGCACUUUAAGUUGGGAGGAAGGGCAGUAAGUUAAUACCUUGCUGUUUUGACGUUACCAACAGAAUAAGCACCGGCUAACUUCGUG